UACGGGGGGGGCAAGCGUUGUUCGGAAUUACUGGGCGUAAAGGGCUCGUAGGUGGCCAACUAAGUCAGACGUGAAAUCCCUCAGCUUAACUGGGGAACUGCGUCUGAUACUGGAUGGCUUGAGUUUGGGAGAGGGAUGCGGAAUUCCAGGUGUAGCGGUGAAAUGCGUAGAUAUCUGGAGGAAUACCGGUGGCGAAGGCGGCUCACUGGCCCGAUACUGACGCUGAGGCACGAAAGCGUGGGGAGCAAACAGG
rnacentral:rRNA from 1 species